UACGAAGGGGGCUAGCGUUGUUCGGAAUCACUGGGCGUAAAGCGCACGUAGGCGGAUUGUUAAGUCAGGGGGGAAAUCCCGAGGCUCAACCUCGGAACUGCCUUUGAUACUGGCGAUCUAGAGUCCGGGAGAGGUGAGUGGAACUGCGAGUGUAGAGGUGAAAUUCGUAGAUAUUCGCAAGAACACCAGUGGCGAAGGCGGCUCACUGGCCCGGAACUGACGCUGAGGUGCGAAAGCGUGGGGAGCAAACAGG
rnacentral:rRNA from 1 species